CAGUGGUGAUGACUUUUUUAGGACACCUUUGGAUUUAAUUGUGAAACGACAGUGUAAUUCCUGAGCAGC
ensembl:snoRNA SNORD58 Small nucleolar RNA SNORD58